rnacentral:rRNA from 1 species
UGGAUCCAGACUUUGAUUAUGGCUCAGGAUGAACGCUGGCGGCGUGCCUAAUACAUGCAAGUCGAACGAAACUUCUUUAUCACCGAGUGCUUGCACUCACCGAUAAAGAGUUGAGUGGCGAACGGGUGAGUAACACGUGGGCAACCUGCCCGAAAGAGGGGGAUAACACUUGGAAACAGGUGCUAAUACCGCAUAACCAUGAAUACCGCAUGGUAUUUAUGUGAAAGGUGGUUUCGGCUACCGCUUUCGGAUGGGCCCGCGGCGCAUUAGCUAGUUGGUGGGGUAAAGGCUUACCAAGGCAAUGAUGCGUAGCCGAACUGAGAGGUUGAUCGGCCACAUUGGGACUGAGACACGGCCCAAACUCCUACGGGAGGCAGCAGUAGGGAAUCUUCCACAAUGGGCGAAAGCCUGAUGGAGCAACGCCGCGUGGGUGAAGAAGGUCUUCGGAUCGUAAAACCCUGUUGUCAGAGAAGAAAGUGCAUGAGAGUAACUGUUCAUGUUUCGACGGUAUCUGACCAGAAAGCCACGGCUAACUACGUGCCAGCAGCCGCGGUAAUACGUAGGUGGCAAGCGUUAUCCGGAUUUAUUGGGCGUAAAGGGAACGCAGGCGGUCUUUUAAGUCUGAUGUGAAAGCCUUCGGCUUAACCGGAGUAGUGCAUUGGAAACUGGGAGACUUGAGUGCAGAAGAGGAGAGUGGAACUCCAUGUGUAGCGGUGAAAUGCGUAGAUAUAUGGAAGAACACCAGUGGCGAAAGCGGCUCUCUGGUCUGUAACUGACGCUGAGGUUCGAAAGCGUGGGUAGCAAACAGGAUUAGAUACCCUGGUAGUCCACGCCGUAAACGAUGAAUGCUAAGUGUUGGAGGGUUUCCGCCCUUCAGUGCUGCAGUUAACACAAUAAGCAUUCCGCCUGGGGAGUACGACCGCAAGGUUGCAACUCAAAUGAAUUGACGGA